CAGACACUCUUCGGAAAAAAAACGAAAAUCUUCAGAAAAUCAAUGGUUAGAUUGCCAAUAUCCCAUUGAUCUUGAGCCCCUCGGAAGAGACUGGUUCAGCCUUUCCUCUUGUCUGCCGUUUCAUCUGUUUCGCUUGUGUUGGCAUGCCUUUCUCUUGCACGUCCUGUCUACAGGCUCCACCUCAAUGUUUGGCAUGGGACUUGUCCCACGUUACUUCUGUCCAUUUCUGUUUGCCUACCUCCUCUGCUCUGCCAUUCCUGCUCUUUGCAAUGCAUGCCAUGCCCUCCCGAUAAGGACUGGCUUUGCUUCGGUCUUUCAGGCACUUGCCACAGUUUCAUGAAGAAGUUGGUGAGAUGCAAAGCAUUACGCUGCUAGGGAGAUGGUUUCGNCAAGUCAGAGGGGCCAUUCCUACACAAGUGAUAGCUCUUCAAAGACUUAAGGGAUGGGAGAUGGCCCCAAAAUGGCUCAGUUAAUGCCCUCUGCCCAUUGCCCUUUCAAAACCUAAGUAGUAUAUGCUAUCAUCCAUCGGUCCAGAGUGUGCCAGGGCGCCCCUCUUCCACUGGCCUUACCCCUGGGAACCAAGUAUUCCCAUGUAUAAACAUGUUACUUCAGUUUGCCUGCUGUUCUAAACAAAAGCCAGGCCUACCGGUUGUGUCAUUUUGUGUGUCUCAGAGUUCUGAAAUGUCAGUUCUCCCUGACAUAGGCUGUUGAAAAUUUAGAGCAAUCUUCAGUUCCACGUGUAACACAUCUUUUCGGUUCCUUUUGGGUUACUCGCUUUUAGAAUGAUUAGCUUUCCCCCCCAGAAGUUAUGUGAGAUGGCAUUAUUAGCCUUUUUUGUUUUGUAAGGGCCACACCCACCGGCACAGGGACAAUCCCAGGCUAGGGGCUGAAUGGGAGCUGUAGCCGCCGGCCUACACCACAGAAGCAGCAAGGCUGGUACCAGCCACCCCUGCGAACCACACACCACAGCCCAUGGCCACACCAGAGCCUUAACCCCCUGAGCGAGGGCCGGGAUGGAACCUGUGUCCUCCUGGAUACUACUCACAUUUUUUUCCACUGAAGCACUAAAAUUAUUCCUCCUUUUUUUUUUAAGUGAUAUAUUAUUUCUUAAAGCAUACAUAUAUAGUCAAUUUAUAACUUGUUAAACAUAUUUCUGCAUUAAUAAAUGCUUUCCUCUAUUGAACAGAGCGGAUAUUUAAUUGUGCCCACAGAAUGUUUCUAACAAUGCUAGAGAGAUUUCCGUCAACAGUGUUAUUGUACAAGAGAAAGUGUAUAUGACCUAAAGGCUUGAUUCCUUAUAUCAUAAGGACUGCUAAGUACUCUCUUUUAAUAAAAUGUCAGUUGUAUAGAUGAGCUAAUCUAUUGAAAUGUGCACACAAGUUCUGUAAGGGACAUCAGUAAAACCUUGAGUCAUAUUAUAGAAAAGAGAUGAAACAAGUGCUCAGUUUUCUAACACUUGCUCUUAUACUUGUACCAGUUGUUUUUCUUUACUAACUUAUUGCUGAAAAUUAUAUUUGCCCCAAAUACAUGAGUCAGCCUCAACAUCCAUUUUAUUCCAUUUCUUUACUCUUGGAUUAUGAAAGAUUGGUUUUCUGAGACAUUCUUCAUUCCCAUGUUAAGUUAACAGGAAUGGAAAGAAUGUGAUUAGAUCCAUGCUCCUUAGCUCUUUGACUUUCUUCAUUAGAUGAUAAACAUGAGGUAAUUUUGAAAGCACUAUUGAAAACUAAAUUAGUUUUUCUUACAGUUGUGUUAAAUAAAGAGAAAUAGAAACCAUAAGUCUUCCAAAGCCAUGACCCAGAUGUCAGUCAUCCCCUUUCUCAGCUGCUGUGGCAUCUUCCAAAAAGACCUUUUCAGGACUGAUACAUGUGUUUCACACUAUUAUAAAAAGAGUGCUUUCCCUGAAAAGCAUCUUGUUCAAUGUGGCAUAGUCAGAAACACUUUCAAAAUGAAAAAUCAAUUUCAAUCCACUCUACCAAAAUAAAGAAAAUCAUGGACUUGGAGAAGAGACUUGUGGCUGCCUGAUGGGAGGGGGAGGGAGUGGGAGGGAUCGGGAGCUUGGGCUUAUCAGACACAACUUAGAAUAGAUUUACAAGGAGAUCCUGCUGAAUAGCAUUGAGAACUUUGUCUAGAUACUCAUGUUGCAACAGAAGAAAGGGUGGGGGGAAAAAUGAAAUUGUAAUGUAUACAUGUGAGGAUAACCUGACCCCCUUGCUGUACAG
rnacentral:lncRNA from 1 species